AGAGUGAGAGAGACUGAGUGAGAAAGGGAGGGACAUCGCAGGGGUAAAGGCUUAUAUAUACUGACAGGAGAACCUGCUCUUCAAAGCGCCGCAAAGACUGUUUAUGUUUCGAGAGAGAAAGAGAAGAACAGAGGGCAGGAGGAACAUUUGAAAAAGGAAGAUGGUUCGGUGGUUCCACAGAGAUCUGUCUGGUAUAGAAGCAGAGACCGUUUUGAAGACACGAGGUGUCCAUGGCAGCUUUUUGGCCCGACCCAGCAAGAAGAAUGUGGGCGAUUUCUCCCUCUCUGUUAGAGUGGGGGAUAUGAUCACACACAUCAGGAUUCAGAACACAGGAGAUUAUUAUGACCUGUACGGUGGGGAAAAGUUUGCAACGUUGGCCGAGCUUGUGGAAUACUACACUGCAGAUCAUGGAGUUCUACAGGAUAAAGACGGGACCAUUAUUGAGCUCAAAUACCCUUUAAACUGCUCGGACCCCACCACUGAGAGGUGGUAUCAUGGUCACUUGUCGGGGCCAAACGCUGAGAAACUGCUCCGAGAGCGUGAUGAGACUGGAACGUUCCUGGUGAGGGAAUCGCUGUCUAAACCUGGAGACUUUGUGCUCUCUGCUCUCACUGAUGAUCAGACCAGUGCUGGCAGGAGGGUCUCCCACAUCAAGGUCAUGUGCAGUAAUGACCGCUACACAGUUGGUGGUAAAGAGGUUUUUGACACUCUGACAGACCUUGUGGAGCAUUUCAAACGCACUGGUAUCGAGGAGUUAUCUGGCACAAUGGUUUACCUCAAACAGCCAUAUUACUCCACGAGGUUGAAUGCAGCUGACAUUGAGAGCAGAGUAAAGCAGCUCAAUCAGACCUCAGAGAGAGAGAACAUGGACGGGGCUGAUAAAAAGCUCAAAGCAGGCUUCUGGGAAGAGUUUGAUGCGCUGCAGAAGUUUGAAACUAAGGUAACGAAGAGUAGAGAUGAAGGCAUGAGACCAGAAAACAAAAGCAAAAACAGAUACAAGAACAUCCUUCCCUUUGAUGACACCAGGGUUAUCUUGCAGAACGCAGAUCCUAAUGCUGUUGGCUCGGAUUACAUCAAUGCCAACUAUGUUACAAACAAAUUAAUGGAAAUUGGUCACCAGAAAGUUUACAUUGCUUGUCAAGGCUGUCUUGCAACAACUGUAAAUGAUUUUUGGCAAAUGGUAUGGCAGGAAGCGUCACGAGUAAUCGUCAUGACAACAAGGGAGGUUGAAAAAGGACGGAACAAGUGUGUGCCAUACUGGCCUACAACUCAAGGAGAGAGCAAGGAAGCAGGCAGGUACAUAGUGACGUUACUGUCUGAGAAAGAUGCCACUGAUUAUAAGGUCAGAGUGAUGGAGCUUUCAGCUCCACAUCGGAACGACCCAGCACGGACCAUUUGGCACUACCAAUAUUUGAGCUGGCCAGAUCAUGGCGUGCCGCAGGAGCCUGGUGGAGUGCUUAGCUUUCUGGAGCAGGUCAACAUCAAACAGCAUGAAUUUUCCGCAUCUGGACCAAUGAUUAUUCACUGCAGUGCUGGUAUUGGAAGAACAGGAACCAUUGUGGUGAUCGAUAUGCUUAUAGAGAUAAUUGAUGCUAAAGGUCUGGACUGUGACAUUGACAUCCAGAAGUGUAUUCAGAUGGUUAGAGGGCAGCGGUCCGGCAUGGUGCAGACUGAAGCCCAGUACAAGUUCAUCUACUUGGCUGUGCUACAGUAUAUAGAGUCAACUACAGCCACACGAAGGGCCGUCAUGGAAACAGAAACUGAGUAUGGAAACCUUUCAAUUCAACCCAAACACCAGAAAGCCAGUCGCAAAACCUCUGCAAAAACAGAAAGGAUUAAAAGAGACAUUACUGAAUGACAAAUUGGUCAUGUGGAAUCUCGUCUUUGGACACACAUUAACGGAACAACGUUUACUCUCAACAUGCAGUGAAAGGACCUGCUGCUGAAUAUUUCACCACUAUACUACACAACUACUGAAAAAAUGAAGAUGUUUAUGAGAAUCUGGGAGCAAAGGGCAAGAAAGAUGUCAAAAAGCAGAAAUCUGAGGAUAAGAAGAGUGGAUCUGUCAGAAAACGAUAAAAACAGAAUAAUAAAAAAAAGAGAUGAGAUUUUAUUUUACUUCAUUGUUGUACAGCUUAUUAUAAAAUAAAUCUUCAGCUGUUUUACAGACAUACUGUUUUAAAUCAAACUGAUCCAGAGGUUUUUGCGAGAAGCCCAAAAAAUUGUUUUAGCAAAUCCUGCUACAUUUAUUUUCAAUUUUUAUUUGUUAAUGUUUAAUUAUUUAGCAAAAAAUUAUUGUUCAAGUAAAUUGGUUUUACUUGAUAUAAACUGAAUAAUGAUCUGCUUUCUCCCAUGUUGUUCUCAGUUUCAAUAUAUUGUCUACCCAAAGACUGUUAAAAGUUAUCCCUUGCCAUUACAUUUAUCAGCAGUAAUAAAAUGAAGAUGUGUUUGCAUAGA